GGAUGAUUGCCACGUGUAUA
rnacentral:miRNA from 1 species